CUCAAAUAAAAGAGGAAAGAGAAGGGGAGUAGAGAUCUCGAUUCUUAAUCCUUACCCCCACCGCCUCCCGCCGGAAACCCUACCUGCCGGUAGCCCUACCGCCGGAAACCCUACCUGCCGUUAGCCCUACCGCCGGUAACCCUACCGCCGGAAAUCCUACCCGCCGGUAGCCGCAACAACACCUCUAUUGCUUCUCCCUUCUUUGUCUUCAUUCAAUCCACAAUUCAACUUGAAGAUUCUAUAGAGCAUCAACUUGAAGAUCCACACAAAUUACAACUGAAUUCUGUUCCUAUCUCUAUUUAGGAACCUUAAAACAAACAAUUCUCUCUCGGCCCACUGGAUCAGUGAAGAAAACUUCGGGAACAAAUAGAGAACAUACCUAGGGAAGAUUUAAGAAGCAGAUCAGCUGUAACUCCAGCUGAAGACUAACGCCUACUGUUUGUCUUUUCUUUUUCCGAUCAAUGAACCCCUAUUAGGCUGUUGAGAUCAUCAGACAUCCAGGACUGCUCAAUUCGUUGAACUCAAAAUGGAUUCUGUGACCAUAACUUUGCCAGAUGCUUGUUCUCUCUCCACUUCAGCCCUCACAUUCCUUGAUAAUAAUUUCAACUCUGCCGAUGACCUUCAAGUAGCUUUGAGUCUUGAGUCAGAAUUACAAACUAAAUGCCAAGAGUUGGACCAAUCUCUUCUAGAUCUGAAUCGUCGGCUUGAGGCGAGUCUUCUUGCCUACGCUUCCUAUUCUGAUGAAAUCGGUGCUCGUUUUACAGAUAUCAACAGUAAACUCGGCGAUCUCCGUUCAAUUACUCGCAUUCCUGAUUGUAUUUCAGGUGGAAAAGAAGAAAAGGGUUCGGGGAGCUCAGAUCAUGUAUGGGGAGAGGAGCUACCAUCACUUGCAAAGGAGGUAGCAAGAGUUGAGACAGUUCGAACAUAUGCAGAGAUGGCAUUGAAGUUGGACACUUUGGUUGGUGAUAUUGAAGAUGCUGUAUCUUCCACAGUAAAGAGAAAUCUUAGAAAGCAGCCUUCACAGGAUUCUGAAGACUCACGCCAUGUUGCCAUUAAAGCACUUAAACUGGCAGAAGAUAUUUUAACUACAGUUACAAAAACUCGACCACAGUGGAAACAUCUAGUUUCAGCCGUUGAUCAUAGAGUAGACCGAUCAUUAGCCAUUUUGAGACCACAAGCAAUUGCAGAUCAUAGGUCCAUGCUUGCUUCCCUUGGCUGGCCACCACCUUUUUCAGAUUCAAAUGCCGAAAAGAAAGUGCAAAAUCCUCUUUUCAGCAUGCGAGGGGAGAUCAAGCAUCAGUAUUGUGAAAGCUUUAUUGGAUUAUGCAGCCUUCAAGAAUUACAGAAAAGAAGAAAGUCACGUCAACUUGAGGGGCAUUUCAGGGAAGUUGCUAUACAACAGCAACAACAACCUCUUUGGACAAUAGAAGAAUUGGUUAAUCCCAUUUCAGUUGCAUUCCAACGUCAUUUCUCUAAAUGGAUUGAUAAGCCAGAAUUUAUCUUUGCUCUCCUGUAUAAGGUGACCCAAGAUUACGUUGACUCCAUCGAAGAAACAUUACAACCACUUGUUGAUGAAGCAAACCUUUCAGGUUACAGUUGCAGAGAAGAAUGGAUAUCAGCCAUGAUAUCCUCCUUAUCAAUGUUCUUGGCAAAAGAGAUAUUCCCAGUCCAUAUAAAUGAACUCAAUGGAGAAAGUAGUUCUUCUGUUACUCAAUCACAAGCCAGAUCAUCAUUGCUUCACCUUAUCGAUUUAAUGAUCGCCCUUGAUAAAAAGAUGAUAUCUCUGGUUGCACAAUCAGGAAUCUCGUUUGAUGGAAACCAGCAGAGAAUUUCUUCUCUAUCUGUGUUUCAAGAUAGACCUGACUGGCUUGAUUUAUGGGCUGAAUUAGAGCUGAGCGAUGCUCUCGAUAAACUAAGACUGGCAAUCGACGACGAGAGAAAUUGGUCUUCGAAAAGUCAAACGGGUCCACAAAGUUACAAAUCGCCUGCAAUUUCCGGUGCAUUUUUGAAGCAGCUAUCGUAUGUUGUCGAACGAUGUCGAUCACUCCCAACUAUUGAUCUUAGAUCAAGGUUUCUUUUGCUCACUUGUGUCCCCAUUAUUAAAUUUGUUUUGGAGAGAUUGAUUCUCAGGUGCCAAGAUGCAGAAGGUCUGACAGCUCUUACAGAAGAUGACGCUUUAAUCAAAGUUAUAAAUUCGAUUAAUUGUUCUCGCCACUUCGAGUCUGUGCUAAAAGAAUGGUCCGAAGAUAUCUUCUUCUUGGAGAUGGAACUGAACCAUGACGACGAAAAACCCCAGAAGGGUAUUUUUGGUAAGGUGAUAAAAAAACUAGAGAAGUUCGAAACAGAGUGGGUUAAUAAGUUAUCAACCGUUGUCUUGAGAGGCUUCGAGGUUCAAUGUCGAGAUUACUUUAAGAACAAGAAACACUGGCUGGAAAUAGGCGAGGAAGGAUCAUCAAUGGUGUCGAGAAACUUAGUAGGGGCCUUAGAUUAUUUGCAAGGGAAAAUGUCUGUAAUUGAAGACGGGUUGAAUACUGUGGAUUUCGUUGGUGUAUGGAGAAGUGUGGCGGUUGGUGCUGAUAGUUUGAUCUUUAUCGGAAUGGUUAUGAGUAAUGUGAAGAUUAACGAUGGGGGUGUAGAGAGAUUUGGUGGUGACUUGGCGGUUUUGUUUGGGUUAUUUGGAGGUUGGUGUUUGAGACCUGAGGGGUUUUUCCCGAAGCUUAACGAUGGGAUGAAGGUUUUGAAGAUGGAGGAAAAGAAACUGAAACAAGUUGUUAGGGAUGGUGAGAGGAAGUUGAAGGAAAAUGGGAUUCGGCAUUUAAGUGUCAAUGAAGUGGAGAAGAUUGGAAAGAGCAGAGUAUAUUGAAGGCUCCUAAUUUGACACCUUGAGUGGCCCUCUCAGCCAUGACACUAAUUUAUCAGGUCUAGAUUUCAAUUGACUAUCAAGAUAACAGUACUAUUGUCUCAAGUUGAUAUUAAUUAGAAGAAUGUUUGAAAUAUUUCUGUAAAAUCAUUUCAAUUAUCUCAAUGGGCAUUUAUCCAGUGCAAGAUGUUUCUUUCUUUUUUUAUAAUACCAUCAUUGCAAUUGCAAGAGAGAUUUAUCCACUAUUUGAAGAGUAAAACAUGGCUUUUAGUGGCAAAAGUAGAUAUGGUUAAAGUGUUUGAUCUUCUCUUAAACAUUCUAAGAUAUGAUUUGUUCACCUUAUUUAUGUGUGUAUCUAUUACAU